GACGAACGCUGGCGGCGUGCCUAAUACAUGCAAGUUGAGCGAUGAAGAUUGGUGCUUGCACCAAUUUGAAGAGCAGCGAACGGGUGAGUAACGCGUGGGGAAUCUGCCUUUGAGCGGGGGACAACAUUUGGAAACGAAUGCUAAUACCGCAUAACAACUUUAAACAUAAGUUUUAAGUUUGAAAGAUGCAAUUGCAUCACUCAAAGAUGAUCCCGCGUUGUAUUAGCUAGUUGGUGAGGUAAAGGCUCACCAAGGCGAUGAUACAUAGCCGACCUGAGAGGGUGAGCGGCCACAUUGGGACUGAGACACGGCCCAAACUCCUACGGGAGGCAGCGGUAGGGAAUCUUCGGCAAUAGACGAAAGUCUGACCGAGCAACGCCGCGUGAGUGAAGAAGGUUUUCGGAUCGUAAAACUCUGUUGGUAGAGAAGAACGUUGGUGAGAGUGGAAAGCUCAUCAAGUGACGGUAACUACCCAGAAAGGGACGGCUAACUACGUG
rnacentral:rRNA from 1 species